GCAACAGAAGAAUGCAAAACAAACACCAAAUGGGAAGAUCGUGGUGGCAUAUCAUGGAUUCCUUUGGGUCUGCCAAGAAGAAUACGCUGAGGUCUUGACGCCUGUACCUUGGGACAUGACCUUGAAAUCAGGUCACUGCCGAUGUCAUCAGUUAUUUAGGGUGACAUGUCCCAUCUUGGACAUGACUGGUGUAUCCAUCAGUGAUUACUAGAGAAACAGCUAAUGUGAGACAUGCAAAUACAUAAGGACUACAGUUGGCCUACAGUGGCCGCCCGCAGUCGGGGCUGAAGAGCGCAGAGGCUCUGCCUGCCCACUGGGGACCCGAAGGAUCCAGCCGAGGCCUGGAGCUUCCUGUGGUGUCCCAAGCGCGUCUGGAUCAGGAGGCCGAAGGCUCUGCGAUGGAGUGGGUGAAGACUGGGCUCCUCUGAAGAAGCUAGAAACAGCCUUGUCGUCCUUCUUCAUUUCCCUUUAUAGCAUGACAAGCUGCCCUAGGGUGAGUCUUCCACACCCAGAACUGUGCUGAGCCAGUACAGCAGGUGUCCUUUAUUCAAGUUGACAUAAUCAACCAUCACAACUGGCACCCUCAGAAGAAGACAGCCACAGUGGCAGACGAGGGGGCCUGGUGGAAAUGGAGGCUGUGACCUGGCCAAGGCUGAGGGCGGGAAGGCUUCCCAGAGCCCAGAGAACCUUGCAGGGGUCCCGAGCUCCUGAUCUGGACCUGGAGCUGGGAGGCGGUCAGUGCUGUUGUGUGGUGACCAGGUCAUGGUACUCGGCUAUGGCAGCCUUAGGGAACGCACUGUGCUCGGUUGUCAUGGGCUGUCCCCACCGAGCACCUCCUGUCUGUGGGAAGUCCGAGGCCCGGGGAUGGCACCGCCAUGCUCCCACGCGCGAGGACGCCACCCCGUUCCAAGACUCCAGUCAGCUGGAUGGCGGGUGCCGCUGAAACCCCACGGCUGCUGUGCCUCUGAACCUUGCAGCAAAUGGCUUGUGGUCCUUAAAUUGCAAACUAGCUGUGAAAGGUGGAAGGCAGCUGAGCCCGGGCCAGUGCUCCUUUCAGCACUGUCCCUCCUGUGACGUCGAUCGGUUCCCUCACAGUCAGCAGGUUGGAUGAUGCUGCGCACGCCCACCGUCCCUUCAGCUCGGUCUCCGGAGUCCGAGUCUCUUCUUCCACCCCAAAGGCAGGCGUGGAUCCAGGCAGCAGGGCGUGUAGAGGUGAAGUGAGUCUGGCCCUCAGAGAGGGAUCCGGGAAGCACAGGGGCCUGUGAAGGGCCCUGGGGAGGUGAGGGAGCAGCUGGAAGAGGCUCAGCCUCAGGCCUGACCCAGGAGCAGCAGGGCAGCCAUCGGCUUGGAGGCCAGCGGGGCCAAGGGCCCAGAGUGAUCUGUCCCGUGCCCUGACGCCCUUGCGGAAGGGCAGGAGCAGCUCUUUUUGAGCUGCAGGCCUGCACACUUUCGCGCUGCCCGGUGCCGACACAGCAAGCAGGUGCUCUGCUCUGCGUGCCUGAGGAGCAGGCUUUCCGGGCGGCCUGGGAAGCCGCUCUCUGAAGGCGGUGGGGUAAAGGGGUGUGAGGCUUGGAAGUGACUGUGGGGUCUGCAUCCUGAGGGCAGGGCCUGGGCCCUCACCCCACGAGAAGGACCAGGGACAUCGUCGGACCCGGGGACCCCCAGCUGAUGUGGAGAAAGCGGCUGAUGUGGAGAAAGCGACAGAGUGGACAGAGUGGGGAGCGGGCUUGGGGUCCCUCCCACACAUCAAAUGCUCCUCUUGUCCUCUGCUCAGGCCCCGGGCUCAGAUGUGCACCCCUCACCUGCUGUGGGGACGGGACCCCAGCACGCUGCCUUGCGGGGUGCUGGUGGGAGGUGAUGGGGAGUCAGGACAGGGGUGUCACCGCACAGCCCUCUGAGGCCCAUGUCGCCUCCCUCAGAACUCACAGGCGGCCGGAGUCUGUCCCUUCCUCCCAGGGGCAGGAGCAGGCUGGGCCGGCAAAGCCCCCUGCAGUCCCAUGGCUCCUGGGUGGUGUCAGGAAAGGGUCUCGUUCUCAGGAUCUGGGGGACAGGCAGAGAGGAAGGAGAGGGAGGGAGGGAGAGGAGGGACAGUCACACGCAAGCGCAAGCGACAGGGGCCUGCUGGGGGAGGCUGAGCGUUCUUGCAGCCCUGAGGCCGAGGCACCUCUCUCUCUUGGCUCUCCCAGUGCUCCGUGUACGGUUGAUUCAGGGCCCAGUCUCAACCCAAAGCAUCCCGAAGGCCCAACACCCAGUAACGUCCCAUUCAGUUUCUCCGCAUGUUUCCUCCCCACUGGGGCGGCACUGCGGACCCCUCCAGGCCCCAUGGCCAGGUUGGCUCCAUCCCUGGGCUG
rnacentral:lncRNA from 1 species